rnacentral:lncRNA from 1 species
CGCGAAAUUUCAUGAAGGAUAUGGCGAAUUUACGUCAUGGCAAAACACGACGUCAUACGAAUGGAAAUUUUCAAGGUAAAGAUUAUUUCGUUACGUGUACGCUUCAAAUUCGGAUAAAAUUUAAUUAAAAUGAAGUUUUUGAGGUAGGUGCUAUUUCAUUUAAGAUUCCGUUGUAUUUAUCGGACAUUUAUGGUUUUUAGAAAGUCAAGAUGGCGGC